AACGAACGCUGGCGGCAUGCCUAACACAUGCAAGUCGAACGAGACCUUCGGGUCUAGUGGCGCACGGGUGCGUAACGCGUGGGAACCUGCCCUUAGGUUCGGAAUAACUCCCCGAAAGGGGUGCUAAUACCGGAUAAUGUCUUCGGACCAAAGAUUUAUCGCCUUUGGAUGGGCCCGCGUUGGAUUAGCUAGUUGGUAGGGUAAAAGCCUACCAAGGCGACGAUCCAUAGCUGGUCUGAGAGGAUGAUCAGCCACACUGGGACUGAGAAACGGCCCAGACUCCUACGGGAGGGAGCAAUGGGGGAUAUUGGAAAAUGGGCGAAAGCCUGAUCCAGCAAUGCCGCGUGAGUGAUGAAGGCCUUAGGGUUGUAAAGCUCUUUUACCCGGGAUGAUAAUGACGGUACCGGGAGAAUAAGCUCCGGCUAACUCCGUG
rnacentral:rRNA from 1 species